CAAAUUAAAUGGAAAUGGUGGGGAUUGACGAAAGGUUCAGAGCAGGAAUUGUGAAACGGCUCCUGGCAGCAGCCUGAAUCUACUCUGCACUCUGUCAUGAUGCCAUUGCCUGGGACUUACGAAUUUUGCUUGUACAAGAUUUAUUAUCUUAUUUUAAACUACAGAAUUCCAAAACACAAGGCAAACCCGGGCCCAAAGGUCUUUGUAGAAGUGGUAGCAGCUGAGAAGGGGACGUUCAUAAUGGCACAUGGAAAUUGGAGGCGUGUGGAGAGAAAACAGACUGUGGGGUCUGAAGACCUGGAACUGUGUACCAGUCCUAUAGUUAACAAGCUCAACCUAUCAGCUGAGGAAUAAGUAGGUUUGGACUAGGCCUGGGCUUCCCAAAGAAACAGCCUGACACUGCUGAUCUGGGAUUUGUGAACAUUCCAUAAUAUUGACUCACGUAAUGACAUGUUAAUCCUUUUCUUCAAUUUAUGUUCAGUACUUUUCUUGCAUUAUAUCAUGGAGAAAGCUUCAAUUUUAUGCUGAGCAAACCUCAGGCUCAGACCCUUUGGCAGGCAGCAGUAUCUAGCUGGAAUUUAAAAAUCACUCCCCUCACCUCCCGCGGCAUUUGAUGUUAAGGUCACUACUAAUUAUGGCAAGUGAUCCUGCUAUUCCAUUUACAAAAAUAAUACAAUGUUUUCUUUUAAAAUAAAUGAAAUCUAAGUUUUAAAAGUAUGUCUAAUGAAUACAGUCACAUGUCACUUAACAAUGGAUACAUUCUGAGAACUGCAUUGUUAGGUGAUUUUGUUGUUGUGUGAACAUCAUAGACUGUAUUUACAUAAACUUAGAAGGAAUAGCCUACUACACACCUAGGCUAUAUGGAAUGGCCUAUUGCUCCUGGGCUACAAACUUGCACAGCAU